GACGAACGCUGGCGGCGUGCUUAACACAUGCAAGUCGAACGGAAAGGCCCUGCUUUUGUGGGGUGCUCGAGUGGCGAACGGGUGAGUAACACGUGAGUAACCUGCCCUUGACUUUGGGAUAACUUCAGGAAACUGGGGCUAAUACCGGAUAGGAGCUCCUGCUGCAUGGUGGGGGUUGGAAAGUUUCGGCGGUUGGGGAUGGACUCGCGGCUUAUCAGCUUGUUGGUGGGGUAGUGGCUUACCAAGGCUUUGACGGGUAGCCGGCCUGAGAGGGUGACCGGCCACAUUGGGACUGAGAUACGGCCCAGACUCCUACGGGAGGCAGCAGUGGGGAAUAUUGCACAAUGGGCGGAAGCCUGAUGCAGCAACGCCGCGUGCGGGAUGACGGCCUUCGGGUUGUAAACCGCUUUCGCCUGUGACGAAGCGUGAGUGACGGUAAUGGGUAAAGAAGCACCGGCUAACUACGUGCCAGCAGCCGCGGUGAUACGUANGGUGCGAGCGUUGUCCGGAUUUAUUGGGCGUAAGGGCUCGUAGGUGGUUGAUCGCGUCGGAAGUGUAAUCUUGGGGCUUAACCCUGAGCGUGCUUUCGAUACGGGUUGACUUGAGGAAGGUAGGGGAGAAUGGAAUUCCUGGUGGAGCGGUGGAAUGCGCAGAUAUCAGGAGGAACACCAGUGGCGAAGGCGGUUCUCUGGGCCUUUCCUGACGCUGAGGAGCGAAAGCGUGGGGAGCGAACAGGCUUAGAUACCCUGGUAGUCCACGCUGUAAACGGUGGGUACUAGGUGUGGGGUCCAUUCCACGGGUUCCGUGCCGUAGCUAACGCUUUAAGUACCCCGCCUGGGGAGUACGGCCGCAAGGCUAAAACUCAAAGGAAUUGACGGGGCCCCGCACAAGCGGCGGAGCAUGCGGAUUAAUUCGAUGCAACGCGUAGAACCUUACCUGGGUUUGACAUGGAUCGGGAGCGCUCAGAGAUGGGUGUGCCUCUUUUGGUGUCGGUUCACAGGUGGUGCAUGGCUGUCGUCAGCUCGUGUCGUGAGAUGUUGGGUUAAGUCCCGCAACGAGCGCAACCCUUGUUCACUGUUGCCAGCACGUUAUGGUGGGGACUCAGUGGAGACCGCCGGGGUCAACUCGGAGGAAGGUGGGGAUGACGUCAAGUCAUCAUGCCCCUUAUGUCCAGGGCUUCACGCAUGCUACAAUGGCUGGUACAGAGAGUGGCGAGCCUGUGAGGGUGAGCGAAUCUCGGAAAGCCGGUCUCAGUUCGGAUUGGGGUCUGCAACUCGACCUCAUGAAGUCGGAGUCGCUAGUAAUCGCAGAUCAGCAACGCUGCGGUGAAUACGUUCCCGGG
rnacentral:rRNA from 1 species